ensembl:lncRNA
AUGUCUGACUUGAAUGAUUUCACCAGUUCGUGUUCCCCCUCACCAUCUGAGUUGUUAGACAGUGAACAAUGUCUCUCCCAUCUCACUUUUCCACUUGGUCUGCAGGACAGCACCACCAACAGUGAAUCUACCCUGAGUCUUCCAGUUAUAAAUAUGAAGAAACUCUCCAGUGUGUCUUUCCAGACAAAGGCUAGAAAGGCAGUGAGCGAAGCUCUGAGAUCUGUCAACCCCUUUACAAACAGCUUACUGGGAGACUCUGAAGCAUCUAAAUUGCUGGACACUUUUGUAACAGAUGUGGAGACUAUUGUUCAGUCCAUGCAGGCACAUCACUCUGAAAAUUUCAGAAUUUCAAAAGUGAGCACCCUUCAUGCUGCUCGUAUUAUAUAUCAUAGAUUUCGAGAAAUGCUGAGGCGUUUUCUCACUCCCUGCCAAGACUCUGUAAAGGUCAUCGAUGGUGUUACACCAAUACAUGAUGAGACUCUCAAACAGGCUCCUAGGGAAAGUUUAGAUUCUCAGGUGACAUGUAUUAGGGAUUCUCUUGAAAUCCAAGCGGACCUUCAAACCUGUACCAAGGAGGUCAUUAGUCAGAUCCUCACUGUGUAUCACUCUGAGGAAUCCAUGGAGGAAUGCCUCUCUAGCCUAAAAGGAGAUACAGAAGACCUGUCCAAGCUUUUGGAUGCCGUUGUUUCUCAGAUUGACGUCCUUGACGCCUCCAAAUCAUAUUUAUCUGUUGAUGACUAUGCUGUCAAUACACAGGACAAUUUGCAUGGUGAGAUCAACAAUGAUGAGGAGGAGGCAUCCUCUAGAAGUCUUAAAUCCACAGCCUUUGACAAACUAUGUACUGAUGAGUUUCAAACGAAAGCCUCACAUAUGGCUGGUGGGAUCCUUCAAUCAGGGUUAAUUGGCAUUGUAAAUACCAGCCUUGAUGGUAGAAGUGCAGACAUUUGUGCAGAGUCCAGUAACGAUGGUGAUGAUAGAGAUGUCAAAAUCCUUCAGAAGAGUGGAACUCCACCUGUUUUCACCUCUUCUCUGCACACCAAUUCUGCAGCAUCCAACAUCGUCAUAAGCAUCACUAAAGACCUUAAUAGCUUCACCCAGAUCACUAAAAUGUCUGAUGCUUCAGUGUCUGGUCAAUUAGAGAGAUCCCUGUCAGCUUCAACCCUUCCUGUCAGUGUUCAGAACGGGGCCAAUGUGAAAGGAAAGAUCAUUUGGCCAGGCACUGUAAACCUGUUCAACAAUGUGUUCAUCAAGGUCAAGGAUUUUUUUGCCCAGCAACAACCGGUCCUCCUAGACAAUGUGGUUGAGGACCCCAAACAUGCCGAAUCCAUAUACAGAACAGCUACUUCUACACAAAUGACUUACAGUGAACAUGAAGGCAGCCAGACCAGCAUGGUAAAUUAUUCCAAAGCCUUAAUUAGUCAGACUCUGAUGACAAUCCAGAGGAGAGUGUCUAUGUCAGAGAGGAUGAGCACCUCAGAGAAAGGCCUCUUGACUCGUUCCAUCGUGGGCUCCAUGUUGGAGGAUGUUGACAUGGUGAGAACUGAUGGACACGAGAUACACCGGCCAUCCUCCUCAAAGUCCUCCCUGUCCAUCACCUCUGCCAUGACCAGAUGGUCCCAGAGUGAUUUUACAAAUUCUCUUCCAGGCACUCCAGUGCCCAAUGAGUGGCCUGUUGAAAUCUAUUGUCCUAUCAUUAGGAGUUCAGUCAUUGAUAUGAGUGACUCCUCAACUCAUUCACAAGGGUCAACAAAUUACACAAGGCAAACCAUCUCUGCCAUAGUUGACACUGUUAUGGAGGUCAUUCCAAGAGAAGAUAUGGAACACAUAGCCACUGCAGAUGAUGUCACUUCUUUUACAAGAAGACUUGCGAGACUCAGCCCCAGGGACGGUCUUCAGAACUUCUCACAUGAGCUCACUGACAAAGUUUAUGAGCUCAUAAAAAGUCACAACACCCCCCAGGCUCUUUUUGUGCCAGCUGGCAAGAGCGUGUCUGACUCUAUUCUUUUGAAGCUGAAGACAGGAUUGAAUGCUUCUGAAGAAUCCAGGGAGUUUCCAGCUGACCUUGUAUACUCCUUUGCUACGCAGUCAAUAAAACGUCUGCUACAGCAGAUUGUCUUCUGGCUUCCUCCACCAUCACAAGGAUCCGAUUUCUGCCAAACUAUCAUCUCUGAUGAUUCUCUGCAGGAAACAAGUUGGCUUAUGCCGAGCUCUUCUGCCAUCUCCGUUAGUUCCUCACAGGUUUACUUUGACACAAAGAGCCUUUUCACCAAUAUAAUGGUCGAUCAGGUCAUGGAUACCUGUUCUGUGGCCUCCAAUUCAUCAGAAGAAUUAUCAGAGUUGAUGAACAUAAUCAAUGGGUUGUCCCCAACUGAUGCUGGAACACUUGACUCUGACAGACCGGCUCUCAUGACCACUUGCCGUCAGUCUAGUUCCAAAUCAUUGCCUAGACCCUCUCUGUCUGGCAGCAGCACACACAACGGUGGAACUGUGGAUAUUCAAGUUUUAGGAGAGGUGGAAUCUAAGAUGGACAACAAAGAUCUGGAGAUGUCUAGUGUCUCUGUGCAUCCAUCAACUCCAUCAGCCAUGGACUCUGAUACACAUGCAUCAUUUGACUCCACUAGCAAUGAUGACACCUCUUUGGUACUUUUACUGAUAGUUAGAUUGCUGUCAAUGAUCACCCCUUUCACAUUACUGGAAUCCUCUGACAUUGGUGAAACAUCAAGAGUUCUCACAAAGAGGAUUCUGUCUGAGUUCUGUGGCACCUCAGGCCUUGAACCAACUCAAGCCUACCCCCAGAAUCUGAAAAUCAAAAAGAUUUUCAAGGCUGUCUACAAGGGGCUUCUUCAAGAAUUUGGGUCAGAGAAGAUGCUCCAGGUUGCAAUGAAGUCAACAGAUUAUGCAUUUGACGAUGCCCUGGUCAAAUCAUUAACUAGGGAACUACUAGCUAAAUGCAAUGAGGCUAGCUCUUCACCUCCCUCCAUGACACAGUUGUCAUCACACAAUGUACUUGGCAGUGACGAGGUAGGUAAUUCUGGGCUUCCAACAACUUGUAGAAAGGAAAAGAAGAGAGGAAGAUUCAGCGCUCUCUGUGGACUCAACCAAAAGGUAUAUAUGUCAUCAAAAUACACAUUUUUAAGAUUAUUUUUAUUCAUUACGUACAGUAUGAUGGUAAACACUGAUACCCUUUGUGUGCAAUUUCUCCUACUGUAUAAAUGA